AAAAAAAAAUAACAAGACAUUGGAGAGCUUCACCAAACCAUUGCUCACGGCUAAGGAGAGGGAAAAAGCAAGAUCAUUUUGAGCCUCUCUAAAAAUAUUUCUUUGGUACAAAUCAACUAAUUUAAGGUCCCUAAGUAGCGUGGAAGUAUUGUUUGGAUCAUCUAACCACUCAUUGUGUCCAAUUGCAAACCCUAGCCAUUUGUGGUAUUGAAGAAGAAAGACCUUGGGGAGCCCGAGGCGUAGAUUGGGAUUAACUUUAGAUCGGCUAGCUUGGAGUGCGUACGAGGGGCUGCGUUUCAUGCCCGCAGGUACAGACGCACAGUUUGGUGAUCCACCCGUUUAGGACAUCCUCUUCUGCUGUUUGGAGUGCUCUUCUCCUUUCAGAGCAUAUCUUUUGGUAUAUAUUUUUGUUCGCUAUGUAUGUAUAUAUUCGUUCAGGGGUACGGCGGGGCCCUGUCUCGCCAUAUGUUUCGUUUGGUCUGUUUAGAGGUCUGUAGACGUAUUUGUGGGUGUGUGUGCCUACUUCGGUACAGAUGUGUUUGUAUGACCCUAUUCGUUAUGGCAGCCUUGUCGGCGUGCACUUUGUAUAUGUUUUGGGCCGGUGCGCCAUUUGAUAGCCUUGUCGGCUUUUGAUA